rnacentral:misc_RNA from 1 species
AAAAAACUUAGAUCUAAUCCACCGUCACUCUCUCUGUCCCUCCAUUUAUUCUCUGCAGAAAAACACACACACACAGUCUCUCUCACGCUCUCUCAUCAUAUUCAUUCCCUUUUUGUAGUAUUUUUCUCCACAUUUACAUCUCCAGGAACUCAUUAUUGGGUUUCCCUCUCAUUAUUCCUAAUUCAGAUCUAUUGCUUCCUCAACAUUGCAGAUCAACUUUUCUCAAGAGUCUAAUUGUUUAAUCUCCUUAGUCAAGAUACUUGAUUUUAAUUGGUGCCUUAUCUAGACAAUUAUGAUUUCAAAGAGCUGAAGUAGAAAAGAGAAAGUUAAGUUUUUCCACGGACACAAAAAAAACCCAAAUGAUGCGAGGGAGAUCAGACGGAGCGCAAAAGAAGCGCUUGUGGACUUUUGUAGGUAUUGGGGCUGUCUUGGUUGUUUUCCUUUACAUGUAUUUUGGAUCCAAGAGCGGUGGUGAGUCUGCUCUUGAGUAUGGCAGCCGUUCUUUGAGGAAAUUGGGAUCGUCUUAUUUGGGUGGGGAUGAUAACUCUGAUCUCAGCAGCAGGCAAGAGGAGAAGUUUGGACUGGAAGAUGGUGAUGGUGGCAUCGUCCCUAAGAGUUUUCCAGUUUGUGAUGAUCGACAUUCAGAAUUAAUUCCGUGUCUGGACAGACAUCUCAUUUAUCAAAUGAGAUUAAAGUUGGAUUUGUCACUGAUGGAGCACUAUGAAAGACAUUGCCCCUUGCCAGAAAGACGUUAUAAUUGUCUGAUUCCUCCUCCUCCUGGAUACAAGGUGCCAAUUAAGUGGCCAAGAAGUAGAGAUGAGGUCUGGAAAUUGAACAUUCCUCAUACGCACCUUGCAAAUGAGAAAUCUGACCAGAACUGGAUGGUUGUGAAGGGUGAAAAGAUAGUAUUUCCUGGUGGAGGCACUCACUUUCACUAUGGAGCAGAUAAGUACAUUGCGCUAAUUGCCAACAUGCUGAACUUUACAAACAAUAACUUGAACGAUGAGGGAAGGAUACGGACAGUUUUUGAUGUUGGUUGCGGUGUGGCUAGCUUUGGUGGUUAUCUUCUAUCCUCUGAUAUUAUAGCAAUGUCAUUGGCACCAAAUGAUGUGCAUCAGAAUCAAAUACAGUUUGCUUUAGAGAGAGGAAUUCCUGCAUACCUUGGUGUCCUUGGAACGAAAAGACUGCCUUAUCCAAGCAGGUCAUUUGAAUUUUCUCACUGUUCUCGUUGUAGGAUUGAUUGGCUUCAAAGGGAUGGAAUCCUUCUCCUUGAGCUCGAUAGGGUACUUAGACCUGGAGGCUAUUUUGCAUACUCAUCCCCUGAAGCAUAUGCACAGGAUGAAGAGGAUUUAAGAAUAUGGAGAGAGAUGAGUACACUUGUUGAACGCAUGUGCUGGAGAAUUGCAGCGAAAAAGAACCAAACUGUCAUUUGGCAAAAACCUCUAAACAAUGAUUGUUACAUGGAAAGACCUCCUGGUACGCAGCCACCACUCUGUCGAUCUGAUAAUGAUCCAGAUGCUGUCUGGGGUGUGAAUAUGGAGGCAUGCAUAACACCUUAUUCUGAACAUGACCACAAAGUCAGUGGAAGUGGACUGGCUCCUUGGCCAGCUCGAUUAAGUAGUCCUCCUCCCCGUCUUGCUGACUUUGGGUAUUCGAAUGAAAUGUUUGAAAAGGACACGGACACUUGGAGGGAGAGGGUUGACCAUUAUUGGAGUCUGUUAAGUUCUAAGAUUUCAUCAGACACCUUGAGAAAUAUCAUGGACAUGAAGGCUAACUUGGGGUCAUUUGCUGCUGCUCUGAAGGACAAAAACGUAUGGGUCAUGAACGUUGUACCCAAAGAUGGACCCAACACUCUCAAGAUUGUAUACGACCGAGGCUUGAUUGGCACAACACAUGACUGGUGUGAAGCAUUCUCAACCUAUCCCAGGACCUAUGAUUUGCUCCACGCUUGGACAGUCUUCUCUGAUGCUGAGAAGAAAGGUUGCAGUGGUGAGGACUUGUUACUCGAGAUUGAUCGCAUACUAAGGCCUACAGGUUUCGUUAUCAUCCGUGAUAAACAACAUAUUAUCGAAUUCAUAAAGAAGCAUUUAUCAGCAUUGCACUGGGAAGCAGUUGCAUCAACUGAUUCCACCUCGGAUCCCGAGCAGGACAACGAUGAGGUUGUUUUCGUCGUGCAAAAGAAACUGUGGCUCACAAGUGGAAGCAUCAGAGAUACAGAAUAGAUAGCAGAGUUUGUAACACAUUUUGCUAAUUCAUUUUCUCUCUAGGCCUUUAGGGUGUUGAAGAAAAAAAAAUGUAUGCCCUUAAUUUUCAGUUUGAAUUUGUAUUUGCGUGUUAUUUAUUUUCUUUUUUUACUCCCAACGCAUUUUUAUGUAAGUUUACAAACUGAGAGACUACAUAAUGUAU